rnacentral:rRNA from 1 species
GGGUGCGAUCAUACCAGCGUUAAUGCACCGGAUCCCAUCAGAACUCCGCAGUUAAGAGCGCUUGGGCUAGAGUAGUACUGGGAUGGGUGACCUCCCGGGAAGUCCUAGUGUUGCACCCU